AUAACAAAAAAAUUAAAUCAGUAAGAGACAGAAACGAAAAAAGGUCCGUUUUUUUCAUUUUCUGAGACCGGAAGUGGUCAUCAGCAAGUGUGGAGCCAAACGACAACAAGAUUCUCAGAGGGCGGAGCCAGAGAGCAGUGAUUGGUCAGACCAUAGAUAAUAUAGAAGACAGCGCGCUAGCGGAUCUAAUCUGUGUGUAUCUAUGGUCGGCACGUCUGGUAGCGGCUCUGGCUGCUGUUGAUCUUGUUUUUGGAGUAAAACACGGUGGAAGCUGAAUUAGUGAGGAUGACUCCUGCUCCUGUCAUCUCUAAGCUCCUCACACAUCUUUACCUGCACAUGAGGAAAAUCACUCCUGUAGAAUGCAGAUGUUCAGAGGGAGAUGAUGCCACAUCUGGUCCAGCUGAUGGAAGGUCUUGAAGUUCUCUGACUGGCCUCGACUGAAGAUGGUCGUCUCACUGGAUUUAAGGUUCAGAUGCUCAGUAACAAACUCCACCAAUGUGCCAACAGGGAAGCUUUAGGUUUAUUAAAUGUUGCUAUGAAGGUUUCGCUGUUUUUCUUUGUGAAUGCAAUGUGCUCCAAAUGAAACUUGAAUUACAACUUAGAAGUAAAUCCUUCCAUCUGAAAGGAUUUAGUUGCAUUAAUAACCUCAUAACAUUCUAAUUUUUAUUCCAGUCUUGGUUGAAAACAGAAUCUCUGUAUUGAUUCAGGUAAAAACUGAACUUCACAGCAUGUUGGAGCAAAACAACCAGAUGAAAACUGUGAUGGUGUUGGAUUGUCAGACCGUAAUGUUGCAGCUCAAAGCAGCUUUUCUAGCUCAGUUCAUUCUGACAUUCAGCUAUGAAUCAACACAGCAGAUGGUGAUCCAUGCUGUGGAAGUCUCACAUCUCCUGAUUUAAUGGAGCUGCUUUGCACUUUUUACACUGUUUAUUCACCAACACUUUAUUUAAUAAAAGUCCCAUCUAGUUUUUAUGAGGAACGUGAUGUUUUAAUUUCUCUGUGAAUAACUGCAGUCUAAUGCAACAGCUGGAGUUGUAACAUCUGUCCUGAUAUUGAUCAUGAAGUAUUGAUCAGAAUACUUAUGGUUAGCAGUCAUCCCUGAAGUUUUACAUUAAAAUCUUUACUUGUGUUGUGAACUUUGGUAAGAAGCAGAAACUUUUGCGUUGCCAUGGAUACAUGAGUGUUAAAUUCUGUCCAUGUUUCCAUUUUGGGAAAUGCAGUCCAGUUCCAGAAUGUGGAGGAAUUUAGUCUCACAAUUACAGACAACAAAUAUUAUCUGAAAGUCGGGUUAUUGUUGUUUAUCAGCAGAAUACAAAAAGAUUAAUGUUAGAAAUAUUCCAGUUAAGACUCUAGAAUAUCAAGAUUUAUGUAUAUUUACCUCAAUAAUAUAAAUGUUCGGGUUAAGAUUGUACAGUGAUAUUUAUUAUGUAAGUUUAGCUGAUUAAAGUUUAUGACUCUGCAUUAAAAUAUUAUUUAAAUUGACAUCACUCUUAUAAUAUUUAGGGUCAGACCCUACAGUAUUGAGAUUAAGAAAUCAAAUAUUCUAUAAAAUGUAAAUACACUGAACUCAUUUGGAUAUAUUUAAGUGAGGCUCUACAAUAUUAUUUGACACAAAUCUAUCUAAAUCAAAAUUUUAAUAAUUUUCCACGCCAAACAUUUACUGGACUGAUUUAAACAUUAAAAUCACUCCUUUCUAAUCCACUGCUGUAUGUUCAAACCUGAGGCCUGAAAUAGAAACACACAAGUAUCUGAUUGAAGGAACUUCUGCAAAGUCCUGGUUCCAGAAUAUGAUGAUAGAAUUAUAGACAAACUUUAACAAAAGCUGCCUGAGAGUUUACAGGUUUUUAUGUUGGAUUUCUUCAGUAAUUUAAAGAGAGUUAUCAGCAAAAAUCAAGUGUUCAUUUGAUGAACUUCAUUUCCUAAAACAUCCAGAAUUGGAGCUCAUAUCUUUGGCAGCUGUAAAGUUUCUGCUCCUUCAAAGUUGACAACACAAUGAAUGAAUUCCUAAAACACUCUCAAUGCUGGAGAGCGUUUGUGAUGCUGAAGCAAUGACCAGUUUUUCUGUUUCUUCUCUGGAGAUGCACAAUGAGGGACGUCUGCAGAGACUGAGAAAGAGUCUCACCACAUCCUGACAUGAGGACAAAGACUUUAUUGAAGACUACAAUGAGAAAAACUAUCCAGACAGCAGACGGCUGCAUUCAAGGUGAGCUCUGAACAUUUGAUCUGGAACAGGAAUUCAAUAACGGCAGCAUGAGCUUCAUUUCAGUCUGUAGCUGCUGAAUUCAUGGAAGAAUCAUCUGGCACUAGAGAAGAAGACCAUCAAACAUCCAUGUCAGCUGAUGGAGGUCCAAGAGUCUCACCGAACAACCAACCUACAGAGUGAAGACCUCUAAUCUGAUUGGACGGCCUCCUAUUCAGCUACAUGUGUGAACAAAUGCCUCUAAGCUGAUUUGUUUUCUAAAAUAAAUCUAGUUUGAGUCCUAA